GCUAGUGUAGUUUAUUAAAAUAUAGCACUGAAAAUGCUAAGAUGAAAAAUAAAUCUUUCCACAAGCA
rnacentral:tRNA from 1 species